AGCAGCCGCGGUAAUUCCAGCUCCAAUAGCGUAUAUUAAAGUUGUUGCAGUUAAAAGCUCGUAGUUGAAUUUCGGGAUCAAUUUAUUGGUCGUGCAAUAGUACGUACUGGUGUUAUUGGUUCCUACCUUCUGAUGAACCAUGAUGUCAUUAAUUUGGUGUUAUGGGGAAUCAGGACUGUUACUUUGAAAAAUUAGAGUGUUUAAAGCAGGCUCACGCUUGAAUACAUUAGCAUGGAAUAAUGAAAUAGGACGUUUGAUUCUAUUUUGUUGGUUUCUAGGAUCGACGUAAUGAUUAAUAGGGAUAGUUGGGGGCAUUAGUAUUCAAUUGUCAGAGGUGAAAUUCUUGGAUUUAUUGAAGACUAACUACUGCGAAAGCAUUUGCCAAGGAUGUUUUCAUUAAUCAAGAACGAAAGUUAGGGGAUCGAAGACGAUCAGAUACCGUCGUGGUCUUAACCAUAAACUAUGCCGACUAGGGAUCGGAUGAUGUUAAUUUUUAAUGACUUAUUCGGCGCCUUAAC
rnacentral:rRNA from 1 species